AGUUUGGUGUCGGAGAAUACUUGGAAGAACUACCCCGCUUCUGAACAUUGUUACUCGGAGAGCUGGCAUUUCAGGUUAUUUCCUGGCCUCCCUUCUGUGACCUUUGACCGAGGCUGACCUUUAGCUGGAGAAUGUGACAUUUUGUUCUCCUCUAGCUGACAUGUGAUGCUCUCAUUAUUCAAAGAUUAGAGGCCAUUUGUCUGCAAGAAUUUAGAUAUACUGACGAUACUUUUUGUCUCCAACAUUCUAUUAAAUAAUUUAUGACAUCUGAUAUCCAGUUUUUCAACAAGACAAAAUGUAUUUCUACUGGGGAAAAACAAACAAAACAAACAAUCAAACAAA